rfam:Gossypium hirsutum cultivar TM-1 unplaced genomic scaffold scaffold165.1, whole genome shotgun sequence
CACGUCAGCGCGCUUUGCUGAUAUGGCAACAAAUUGCCCCCUCUAGGAUGCGAUUUGUUGCCACAUUAGCAAAGCACACUGACGUGG